rnacentral:lncRNA from 1 species
AGUGCAAGUUGAUCUGAUUUGAUUAGAAUCUAAUCUAACCGAUUUAGGUUUAAUCGAGCUAACUCAAUUUCAGCAAUUUAGAAUCCUUUCUAACUGAUGAUCGAAUUAACUCUUUAAUUUAAUCAAACCCACAAGACAAGAUUGACAUCUAGCAAUAUAUCAUAUCUACCUAAAAGACAUAAAAUUCUGAUAGAAAUAUCAAAAAUAUCCUUCAGUAGUAAGUUACCGUAUAAUUUGAUCCUGUGAUCAACCUGCAUCCCGAAUAUGACUUUGGAUAUGAAAUCAUGUCAAACACAAUAUUAUAUUCAUAUAUCUCUUAAUCUUAUAAUGAUGAUUCAAUUUAUGAAAUAUUAUUUUUUUUAAUAUUUAUUCUACU